GGGUUGUGAGGUUAAGCGACUAAGCGUACACGGUGGAUGCCCUGGCAGUCAGAGGCGAUGAAGGACGUGCUAAUCUGCGAUAAGCGUCGGUAAGGUGAUAUGAACCGUUAUAACCGGCGAUUUCCGAAUGGGGAAACCCAGUGUGUUUCGACACACUAUCAUUAACUGAAUCCAUAGGUUAAUGAGGCGAACCGGGGGAACUGAAACAUCUAAGUACCCCGAGGAAAAGAAAUCAACCGAGAUUCCCCCAGUAGCGGCGAGCGAACGGGGAGCAGCCCAGAGCCUGAAUCAGUGUGUGUGUUAGUGGAAGCGUCUGGAAAGGCGCGCGAUACAGGGUGACAGCCCCGUACACAAAAAUGCACAUGCUGUGAGCUCGAUGAGUAGGGCGGGACACGUGGUAUCCUGUCUGAAUAUGGGGGGACCAUCCUCCAAGGCUAAAUACUCCUGACUGACCGAUAGUGAACCAGUACCGUGAGGGAAAGGCGAAAAGAACCCCGGCGAGGGGAGUGAAAAAGAACCUGAAACCGUGUACGUACAAGCAGUGGGAGCACGCUUAGGCGUGUGACUGCGUACCUUUUGUAUAAUGGGUCAGCGACUUAUAUUCUGUAGCAAGGUUAACCGAAUAGGGGAGCCGAAGGGAAACCGAGUCUUAACUGGGCGUUAAGUUGCAGGGUAUAGACCCGAAACCCGGUGAUCUAGCCAUGGGCAGGUUGAAGGUUGGGUAACACUAACUGGAGGACCGAACCGACUAAUGUUGAAAAAUUAGCGGAUGACUUGUGGCUGGGGGUGAAAGGCCAAUCAAACCGGGAGAUAGCUGGUUCUCCCCGAAAGCUAUUUAGGUAGCGCCUCGUGAAUUCAUCUCCGGGGGUAGAGCACUGUUUCGGCAAGGGGGUCAUCCCGACUUACCAACCCGAUGCAAACUGCGAAUACCGGAGAAUGUUAUCACGGGAGACACACGGCGGGUGCUAACGUCCGUCGUGAAGAGGGAAACAACCCAGACCGCCAGCUAAGGUCCCAAAGUCAUGGUUAAGUGGGAAACGAUGUGGGAAGGCCCAGACAGCCAGGAUGUUGGCUUAGAAGCAGCCAUCAUUUAAAGAAAGCGUAAUAGCUCACUGGUCGAGUCGGCCUGCGCGGAAGAUGUAACGGGGCUAAACCAUGCACCGAAGCUGCGGCAGCGACGCUUAUGCGUUGUUGGGUAGGGGAGCGUUCUGUAAGCCUGUGAAGGUGUGCUGUGAGGCAUGCUGGAGGUAUCAGAAGUGCGAAUGCUGACAUAAGUAACGAUAAAGCGGGUGAAAAGCCCGCUCGCCGGAAGACCAAGGGUUCCUGUCCAACGUUAAUCGGGGCAGGGUGAGUCGACCCCUAAGGCGAGGCCGAAAGGCGUAGUCGAUGGGAAACAGGUUAAUAUUCCUGUACUUGGUGUUACUGCGAAGGGGGGACGGAGAAGGCUAUGUUGGCCGGGCGACGGUUGUCCCGGUUUAAGCGUGUAGGCUGGUUUUCCAGGCAAAUCCGGAAAAUCAAGGCUGAGGCGUGAUGACGAGGCACUACGGUGCUGAAGCAACAAAUGCCCUGCUUCCAGGAAAAGCCUCUAAGCAUCAGGUAACAUCAAAUCGUACCCCAAACCGACACAGGUGGUCAGGUAGAGAAUACCAAGGCGCUUGAGAGAACUCGGGUGAAGGAACUAGGCAAAAUGGUGCCGUAACUUCGGGAGAAGGCACGCUGAUAUGUAGGUGAGGUCCCUCGCGGAUGGAGCUGAAAUCAGUCGAAGAUACCAGCUGGCUGCAACUGUUUAUUAAAAACACAGCACUGUGCAAACACGAAAGUGGACGUAUACGGUGUGACGCCUGCCCGGUGCCGGAAGGUUAAUUGAUGGGGUUAGCGCAAGCGAAGCUCUUGAUCGAAGCCCCGGUAAACGGCGGCCGUAACUAUAACGGUCCUAAGGUAGCGAAAUUCCUUGUCGGGUAAGUUCCGACCUGCACGAAUGGCGUAAUGAUGGCCAGGCUGUCUCCACCCGAGACUCAGUGAAAUUGAACUCGCUGUGAAGAUGCAGUGUACCCGCGGCAAGACGGAAAGACCCCGUGAACCUUUACUAUAGCUUGACACUGAACAUUGAGCCUUGAUGUGUAGGAUAGGUGGGAGGCUUUGAAGUGUGGACGCCAGUCUGCAUGGAGCCGACCUUGAAAUACCACCCUUUAAUGUUUGAUGUUCUAACGUUGACCCGUAAUCCGGGUUGCGGACAGUGUCUGGUGGGUAGUUUGACUGGGGCGGUCUCCUCCUAAAGAGUAACGGAGGAGCACGAAGGUUGGCUAAUCCUGGUCGGACAUCAGGAGGUUAGUGCAAUGGCAUAAGCCAGCUUGACUGCGAGCGUGACGGCGCGAGCAGGUGCGAAAGCAGGUCAUAGUGAUCCGGUGGUUCUGAAUGGAAGGGCCAUCGCUCAACGGAUAAAAGGUACUCCGGGGAUAACAGGCUGAUACCGCCCAAGAGUUCAUAUCGACGGCGGUGUUUGGCACCUCGAUGUCGGCUCAUCACAUCCUGGGGCUGAAGUAGGUCCCAAGGGUAUGGCUGUUCGCCAUUUAAAGUGGUACGCGAGCUGGGUUUAGAACGUCGUGAGACAGUUCGGUCCCUAUCUGCCGUGGGCGCUGGAGAACUGAGGGGGGCUGCUCCUAGUACGAGAGGACCGGAGUGGACGCAUCACUGGUGUUCGGGUUGUCAUGCCAAUGGCACUGCCCGGUAGCUAAAUGCGGAAGAGAUAAGUGCUGAAAGCAUCUAAGCACGAAACUUGCCCCGAGAUGAGUUCUCCCUGAC
rnacentral:rRNA from 1 species